rnacentral:tRNA from 1 species
GGGGGUGUGGCUCAGUGGUAGAGUGUCUGCCUGGCAUGCACAGACCCUGGGUUUGAUCCCCAGCACCACAC